AUUAAUAUAGCAAAGUGGUUAAUGCGGGAGAUUUAGGAUUUCUUAUCAAAGGUUCAAACCCUUUUUUUAAUU
rnacentral:tRNA from 1 species